rnacentral:misc_RNA from 1 species
GAUGAAGAACGUAGCGAUAUGCGAUAAGUAAUGUGAAUUGCAGAAUUCAGUGAAUCAUCGAAUCUUUGAACGCACAUUGCGCCCUCUGGUAUUCCGGGGGGCAUGCCUGUUCGAGCGUCAUUAUAACCACUCAAGCUCUCGCUUGGUAUUGGGGUUCGCGGUUUCGCGGCCCCUAAAAUCAGUGGCGGUGCCUGUCGGCUCUACGCGUAGUAAUACUUCUCGCGAUUGAGUCCGAUAGGUCUAAUUGCCAGUAACCCCCAAUUUUUACAGGUUGACCUCGGAUCAGGUAGGGAUACCCGCUGAACUUAAGCAUAUCAAUAAGCGGAGGA